GCAUCAAUGGGGUAGUGGUAACCUGGGUCGUUGCCAUCGUCGAAAAUGUAGGGUCUCGACCCACCGGGGGUUCGAUUCCCUCUUGAUGCA